AGGGGUGUAGCUCAGUUGGUAGAGCACUGGUCUCCAAAACCAGGUGCCGGGAGUUCGAGUCUCUCCACCCCUGCCA
rnacentral:tRNA from 2 species